rnacentral:rRNA from 1 species
GGACUACAGGGGUAUCUAAUCCUGUUCGCUCCCCACGCUUUCGCUCCUCAGCGUCAGUACCGGCCCAGACCACCGCCUUCGCCACUGGUGUUCCUCCUGAUAUCUGCGCAUUUCACCGCUACACCAGGAAUUCCAUGGUCCCCUACCGGACUCAAGCCAUAGCAGUAUCACGUGGCAUCUCCAGGUUGAGCCUGAAGAUUUCACACGUGACUUGCUAAGCCGCCUACGAGCUCUUUACGCCCAAUAAUUCCGGACAACGCUCGCCCCCUACGUAUUACCGCGGCUGCUGGCAC